rnacentral:rRNA from 1 species
CACGUAGGGGGCAAGCGUUGUCCGGAUUUAUUGGGCGUAAGGAGCGUGUAGGCGGCCAGAUAAGUCCGCUGUGAAAUCUCGAGGCUCAACUUCGAGCUGUCGGUGGAAACUAUCUGGCUAGAGUCCGGAAGAGGAGAAUGGAAUUCCUGGUGUAGCGGUGAAAUGCGUAGAUAUCUGGAGGAACACCGGUGGCGAAGGCGGCAUUCUGGACCGAUAUUGACGCUGAGGAGCGAAAGCCAGGGGAGCAAACGGG